CAAUAGCGUAUAUUAAAGUUGUUGCAGUUAAAAGCUCGUAGUUGGAUUUCUGGCAGUGUGACUCCGGCCGGCGUGAUGCCGGCUCGAGCGCGCUACCAUCCUUCUGUCAACCUUCGCGGGUUUUACCGCCCGCCCUGGGGCUCAGAUAUUUUACCUUGAGAAAAUUUAGAGUGUUCAGGCAGGCUAUCGCCGGAAUACAUUAGCAUGGAAUAAUGGAAUAGGACUUUGGUUCUAUUUUGUUGGUUUCUAGGACCGAAGUAAUGAUUAAUAGGGACAGUUGGGGCAUUAGUAUUUAAUUGUCAGAGGUGAAAUUCUUGGAUUUAUGAAAGACUAACUACUGCGAAAGCAUUUGCCAAGGAUGUUUUCAUUAAUCAAGAACGAAAGUUAGGGGAUCGAAGACGAUCAGAUACCA
rnacentral:rRNA from 1 species